CAGCCGCCACGGGAAUACAGAGGGUGCGAGCGUUAAUCGGAUUUACUGGGCGUAAAGCGUGCGUAGGCGGCUUCUUAAGUCGGAUGUGAAAUCCCUGAGCUUAACUUAGGAAUUGCAUUCGAUACUGGGAAGCUAGAGUAUGGGAGAGGAUGGUAGAAUUCCAGGUGUAGCGGUGAAAUGCGUAGAGAUCUGGAGGAAUACCGAUGGCGAAGGCAGCCAUCUGGCCUAAUACUGACGCUGAGGUACGAAAGCAUGGGGAGCAAACAGGAUUAGAUACCCCGGUAGUCCCUGUCUCUUAUAA
rnacentral:rRNA from 1 species